AGUUAAGUGGAUUUUAAUCCUAGCAGUGAAACCUCCACCACUGUGACAUCUCGCGAUUUUCCAGUGACUUGGGUUCGUGUUGCUGCUCGCAGUGUCGCCGAGACGAAGAGCAGCGAGGCGACUGCUUGGUGAAGGCGGAUCUAAUUAGUUUUCCUCGACUUCAUGUUACUAAUUGCUGAAUUCUAUGUGUUACUAUUUGUUAAGUUCAACCAGUGAUAUUUUUCCUGCCUGGUGGCCUCUAACGCCUCUGUGACCUGCCCUGGAGGUUAGUGUAUGUAACGUCAGUGUAUGUUUCCUCGCCUUGCCGCUGGUGUCCGGUAAAGCGGGUAGUUUUCACAGUUUCCUUGAUUUUUAGGUCGGUUGGUGUUUCUUCUACUCUGACAGUAGUGGUUUCUUUCUCCUUUCAGACGCUCUAAACACAGCAUUCUAAGGACGUAGUGCUGACCUCUAGUUCCGGCUUUGACAUGGUGUUCUAUCGUGGUUAUCGGACGUUAGGCUGACCGUGUCGCCAUCGGUAGCUCUUGGUGGCCAGCUUUUCUAUGGAGGAUUUCGAGGAGAAGGCGCUGGAAUCUGCUAGCUCGAAGCCCACAGUAUUUUGGAGAGAUAGGCUAUUUGCGCCAGAAUAACACUUACUCUUCGAUGCUAUUCUGCGUGCUGCCGCCGAGAAGCUCCUUCUCUGCUCUGGCUGCUAAAGCUGAAGUGUCGUACGGCUGUCCGGACUGCUGGAACACCCUGUUCAGCGGCUGCUACUGAUCUCGCCCGCUGCUGGCUGCCGAUCCUCGCACCUGACGCGGACAACUGCGGCCGCUGGCUCUGCCUCCCCGCGCUGCGUUGCGUCGCCUCGUAGCAUGCCGA